GAUGGGAGGCCCAAAAAAAAAAAAAAAAGUGGUUAAGGCGUUGGACUGCUAAUCCAAUGUGCUCUGCACGCGUGGGUUCGAAUCCCAUCCUCAUCA